UCUCGAAAAAACAAAAAACAAAAAAACCAAAAAAUUGUUUGUUUCUGUCUUGUGUGUGAGUAUGUGCAUGUGAGAUGCUAGAACUCAGACCCAGGGCCUUGGAAGGCUGGCAGGCUCUCUACUCCUGUGCUGUAUCUCCAGCCCUUAGCUUUUUGAGACAGAGCUUGAUGAAGUUCAAGCUUAGCACUUUGAAUCUCCUGCCUCCUUUUCCCAGUUCUGGGUUACAGUGUGAACCCCUAAGUCCAGCCAUAGUAUUUAAUUGCAUGUUCCUCCUUAACAAUUCUCGAUGCUGUAUGUCUGCUUAUCUUGUGUGAUUGUCUCUGUCAAAUGUCAAAGCCGGUGUCACUUUUCAGUGGGCCAGGGGCCAGGGACCUUUCACAAGUGCCUGCUGAUUCCUUGGCUUCCUCAGGUUUUGAGAAAUGUGAGCAAUGGAGGUGUGGCAAAGAAACCUAGGAAGAAUAGACACGUGUGCGACGCAUCCAGAAAAGUAUGCAGAUCUCUGAAGGGUGACAUUUCUAAAUGACUUAAGAGCAAGAUGGCCCAGCGGGUAAACGCUCUUGCCACCAAGCCUAAUGAACUGGGUUUGAUUCAUGAAACCCAUGUGGUAGAAGAAGAAAAAUGUCUCUUACAAGUUGUUCCUGGUCCCCACAUAAUGUUGUAGUACAUGUGCACCUCACCACACACAUACACACACAAGUGUUAAUGUAAAAUAUGUGUGUGUUUGUGCAUGUAUGUAUGUAUGUAUGUAUGUGUGGGGAGCAAGCCUAAUCUAAAACCUAAGAGUUGACUGUGAACUUAACCAUGACUGCUUCUCAUGUCUCACUUCGGCCUCUGAUUGCCCUUCAUAUCACAGGAAGCAAGACUUCUCCUCCUCCCACGAAGGACUGUGAUUAACUAAGACACCCAGCAAAGGUCAGGGUACUGAGGUCUCACUGUCCCUGACUUCUGGCUCAGGGGCCUCAGCCUUGAUGAAGCUUCACUUUGAGCCAGCAGACAACCUCCACUGACUGUUUCCUCUUUCUAAUGCACCCUCCCCUCUUCUGCUCACCAGUCCCAGCGUCAGCGUAGUCGAGCAGGGGAGGAUGUCCCUGGUAGGUCAGUUCCCACCUGCUCUGGGCCUGGAGAAGGAAGCUUGGAAGAAAGUUGUAAACAGGUAGAUGGAGCCCAUAUACUAACCCCAAGCACACUCUCUGUCCACCUUCACAUUGUCCGUACCAGUUGCCCCCUGUGAGGCCACUGAGAAUUACCAUUAAUAUGAUGGCAUGUGACUCUGUGUGCCUGGUUUGAUGUUGGUUCCUGAUUAACUACCUUCCCAGUGAAUGGUUUCUAAGUGUUGCUCACUACCAAAUCAAAUAGAACAGCAAGGGGAGUAUUGUAAAUAUCCAGGACUCAGGCAGACACCUUUCCCCAAGUUGGGGCCCAGUGCCCAUGGAUCAAGGUGCUGCUGCCAUGCAGAGGAAGGGGGGACAAGAAGAUCCCUGGGGAUGCUGAGCCAGCUAGCCCAGUCUGCUUGGCAAGCUCCAAUCCACUGAGUGAUGGUGGGCAGCACCUGAGAAACAACCUGGAGGUUGUCCUCUGGCCUUCAUGUGAACCCACACAUACACACACACAUAAUUUUUUUUUCAAAGUACCUUGUCUUCAAUGGUUUUGUAAAGGAAGUUUACUCUUCUCAGUAAAUUAGAAACUUUGUGUCCUUCUGUUUUCCCACAUCAGAAGUUUUUACAACUGAGUAGUAUCAACACUGAAACAUAUAUUAAAGUUUAAUUUAUGUCCUGCCUGCUUGGAAGAAGUCCUUUCUUUUGUAAAGUGUACAGCUGCCAGGCAGAUGAUGAUCCUAGGAGUUCUCAGCAGACAGUGAGUUUUGAAGAACCUUUUACCUACUCCUGAAUUCUACUAGAAAGGAACAAGCGAGAAUCACUGGGGCUGAAGAGAUAACUCAGAGGUUAAGAGCACUGACUGUUCUUCCAGUGGUCCUGAGUUCAAUUCCCAGAAACCACAUGGUGGCUCCCAACCAUCUAUAAUGGGAUCCAAUGCCCUUUUCUGGUGUGUCUGACAGCUACAGUGUACUCAUAUAUAAAUAAAAUAAAUUU
rnacentral:lncRNA from 1 species